GACGUAGGGGGCAAGCGUUGUCCGGAAUCAUUGGGCGUAAAGCGCUCGUAGGUGGAUCGGUAAGUCUGCAAAGAAAGACCCGGGCUCAACUCGGGGAACGGUGUGGAUACUACCGAUCUUGAGGCAAUCAGAGGAUGAUGGAAUUCCCGGUGUAGCGGUGAAAUGCGUAGAGAUCGGAAAGAACACCAACGGCGAAAGCACUCUGCUGGGCCGACACUGACACUGAGAGACGAAAGCGUGGGGAGCGAACCGG
rnacentral:rRNA from 1 species